UGAUAGCGUUGAAACGUGAGGUUGCUAUCCAAAGGAUAGGUUUUCCGUGGAGCGAAUGUCAAGUUAGGAAACUGGCGACAA
rnacentral:ncRNA from 1 species